UACGAAGGGGGCUAGCGUUGCUCGGAAUUACUGGGCGUAAAGCGCACGUAGGCGGUUUGUUAAGUCAGGGGUGAAAUCCUGGAGCUCAACUCCAGAACUGCCUUUGAUACUGGCGAUCUUGAGUCCGGGAGAGGUGAGUGGAACUGCGAGUGUAGAGGCGAAAUUCGUAGAUAUUCGCAAGAACACCAGUGGCGAAGGCGGCUCACUGGCCCGGUACUGACGCUGAGGUGCGAAAGCGUGGGGAGCAAACAGG
rnacentral:rRNA from 1 species